UCUGACCUCAAAUCAGGUAGGAUUACCCGCUGAACUUAAGCAUAUCAAUAAGCGGAGGAAAAGAAACUAACAAGGAUUCCCUUAGUAACUGCGAGUGAAGUGGGAAAAGCUCAAAUUUAAAAUCUGGCAGUCUGAUUUUUCAUGUUGGCUGUCCGAGUUGUAAUC
rnacentral:rRNA from 1 species